rnacentral:ncRNA from 1 species
UAAAAUGCGAUGAGAAGAAGAGUAAGACAGGGAAACUGUCCAGAGAGAGGCAUGGAAACAGGUGUGAUUGCCUUACAGCGGAUUUGUCUGAAGACCGGCUUCGAGUGUCCCUUAAUCGGGAACGGUGACUCCGUUAUAGUCAUGAAACGAUAACCUGCAUGCUUUACGUACAGGUUACCGCCUUCAAUGAGAGGUCCGGAUAAUAUCCGGUCAAUCAGGGUGGAACCGCGAGAAAUUCGUCCCUUGA